AUACAGCUGAUGAGUCCCAAAUAGGACGAAACGCGCGUCCUGGAU
rfam:Schistosoma rodhaini strain Burundi genome assembly, scaffold: SROB_scaffold0001868